rnacentral:lncRNA from 1 species
GUUUGACCGAACAUCAUACAUGCCAGUAUUUUCUACAAAGAUCAUCUCGGAUGCCUUCCACAUUCCAUUAACUGAUAUCAAAAGAAACCAAAAUAAACAACUAAUAUCCCCUCUAUGUCCGUCAUAGUGCAGCAAACUUAAAGAGCCCAACUAAUUGAAUGACAAACACAACCAUUACUAUUUCAUUACUCCUAUAUAUUUGCAACCAAAACUUUUGUCUGGAUCCUUGAUAGAUGAAAAUCUCCCCCACCUGUUAUGUGAACCAGCUGACCCAUUGACAUGCUACAAUUAAAAUUAUAACCACAGAGGAGUGCACAUUUUUCUGAAAUGAUGACAGCUACCAUGUCGCUGAUUAUGCCAAUAAGGUAUUGAGAGCAGUUGCUCUUUAAUAGACCAUAAGAAUUCACGCAACUCAUCCUUUGUAUCUACUGGGUGAAACUUGCAAUCUCCGGGAAACUCAGACACCUGCAUUAGUUGAACUAUUUUUCUUUUUUAACUUACUGAGCAGAUCACCAAUCAAUAUCGACCAAGAGCUCUGAAGACAGAAAGGAAGUGGAAUCCAAAUAAAACAACGGCCAAAUCUAUCUAUAAUAGUCUCGUCUGUUCCGAAUAUUUUUGAAUAUUAUAGCAAAAUGCUAUUAUAUAGAACAUAUAUUAUAACAGUAAUAUGAAAAUUGGUUCCGGAGAAGCUUGGCCUUUAUAGUGAAGUGUUGUUAUAUAGGGAUGUUGUUAUAUAGAGUUUUGACUGAAUAUACCAAUCUUCUUCAUCAGUGGAGCUAGCAGAAUGACAAAAGCAAUCAAAUCAGCAACCUUAGCCAUCUCGACACAUGGCAAAUGUGCCCAUUGGUGGAGCCAGGAUUUAUUCAAAAGGGUGUCAAAAGCAAAAGAAAUUAUGCUAUAAUUGGGAGUGAAAUUUCCGACCUCCCGUAACUUUUGACACCCCUUAACCGUUGCACUAGGAGUUUUUCUUGUGUCAAGGGUUGUCAACCCCUUUUAUAUAUUUAAUUUUUUUUUAAAAAUACUUAUCUACACAGUAUUAUUUUCCGGCGAAGGGGAUUGACACCCCUCGAACAAGGUAGCUCCGCCCCUGAAUGUGCCAUUACAAGAAUACCAGGAACUAUAAAGUACAUAGAUCGAUAGUUCACCAUAUAAUCUCCACUAACUGAUUCCGAAAACAUACGCCAAGGAUCUAUUCUUCUUGAACAACUAAAAAUAAGUAAAAGAGCCUCAACAUGCUUUAUUAAAUGUGGCCUCACAGAUACGUUAGUUCGAGGUACAAGUCAUCCAAAAGUCCCAAUGCACAUCAUAAGACAAUUAUAACAAGCAAUGAGAAAGUUCCUGGCAAUCAUUCUGUUAAAUAUCCCUCUCCCCUGGUCUAGCCAGCCAUUUUGAUAUACGUAUAUGUAUCAAUCAAAAUAAUCUCAAACAAAGCUAGGGGAAAAUUACAAAGUUUUACACAUGGCCAACUAUCAAACCAACAACAUAUAUGACUGUCGAAAUUAUCGUAGAGACACAUAUUAUCAAUGAAAAAUGCUCUCUUAUAGAUCAUUGUAACGACGAAACCUGAUUGUGUCUCUACUAGAAGUUCUGAUUCUAGUAGACUUUUGCAGGUAACAACUCAAUCCUUGAAUAUCGUAUUCGUUAGGCAUCAAACCAACCUUAAACUCAUCCAUAUUACUCAACUUGACAACUAAUAGCUUGAAAUUAUUGACCUCUUCCACCAACUUAGAU